rnacentral:rRNA from 1 species
UGGGGAAUUUUGGACAAUGGGCGAAAGCCUGAUCCAGCAAUGCCGCGUGUGUGAAGAAGGCCUUCGGGUUGUAAAGCACUUUUGUCCGGAAAGAAAUCCUUGGCUCUAAUACAGUCGGGGGAUGACGGUACCGGAAGAAUAAGCACCGGCUAACUACGUGCCAGCAGCCGCGGUAAUACGUAGGGUGCAAGCGUUAAUCGGAAUUACUGGGCGUAAAGCGUGCGCAGGCGGUUUGCUAAGACCGAUGUGAAAUCCCCGGGCUCAACCUGGGAACUGCAUUGGUGACUGGCAGGCUAGAGUAUGGCAGAGGGGGGUAGAAUUCCACGUGUAGCAGUGAAAUGCGUAGAGAUGUGGAGGAAUACCGAUGGCGAAGGCAGCCCCCUGGGCCAAUACUGACGCUCAUGCACGAAAGCGUGGGGAGCAAACAGGAUUAGAUACCCUGGUAGUCCACGCCCUAAAACGAUGUCAACUAGUUGUUGGGGAUUCAUUUCCUUAGUAACGUAGCUAACGCGUGAAGUUGACCGCCUGGGGAGUACGUCGCAAGAUUAAAACUUAAAUGAAUUGACGGGGUCAUAGCUG